rnacentral:lncRNA from 1 species
UCAGAGAUCCAGUGAAGAGCAUAAGAAGAGUGAACAAAGUGCAGAGAAUUAUUGGGGAAGAGCCUGCCAUAGAAAGAACCAGGCAUUCCUGCAAUAAAACAUGACCCAAACUUCUUCUCAUGUUCUUCAUCAAGUUUCUUAUAGAAGCCUGGCAAUGACCUGAACACCGUGUUGAAAUCGUUUCCAGGAAGAUCAUUCAAGAAGGCUUGGAGUGAUGGAGGUGGGCGGUUGAGUUUUUGGUAAGUUGUGUGGAUGCUGUCAAUGAUAUCUGAUACCACCAAAAGGGUGUUGGGUCCUGAAGAGCAUCCCAAGUCCGCUACUUUCAAACACUCUGGGAAGAGAGUGCAACACAGCUCCUCUAUGCUUGCACCAACUAUGGGCUUCACCAUUGAAAUCACUGCUCUCUGAAGAAAAAACAUAAACGAGGUUGAAGGAAGCAUGAAUAUUGCAUAAUUCCUCCUCUCUACCAGAUUUUUUUUUUUGGUGCAUAAUUUUGGUUAUAACUUAUGACUAUCAAAAUUAUUUUAGAAAACCACGUUCUUUAAGUGGUGGAUAUAUAUAUAUGUAUAUAUAUAUAUAUAUAUAGAGAGAGAGAGAGAGAGAGAGAGAGAGAGGGUGACUAACUUGAAGUAGGGAAUUGUUUGCAUAGCUUGUUUUCCCAACUCCUCCAUUCAUGUGUAGGACUUGCUCUACCUUCAUUUUUGUGUUCUCAAAUAAUACUUCUCUCCCUCUUGGUAACAAUUCUGCUAGAAGACUCCCACAUAUUUAUAGCCAAAGCCGAGACUUUUUAAAAGUUCGGUAGUUAUCUAACUUGCAAACCAAAAACUUUGGUUCACGUGGCCAUGAAAAAGCUUGAGGCUGAGGAUUCAAAGUACAAAAACAACCGAACCUUAAUCUCCUGCCAUCGAGGUUUAGUUCAUUGGAAAAUAGUAUUGAUUUGUAGAUCAGAGGUUUUAAGUUCAAAACUCCAUGAUAUCUCUCAUCUGUAAAUUAUUAAUAUAACGAUAUGCAAAUUAUCAAAAUCGGCCUUGAAAAGGAGGCAUGAAGUAUUGUUGAUUAAUAAUUGGUGAAUGAUUAUAGCUUAGAACUAGUUCGCUACUCUCGCCCAAAUAAAUUUAGAGUGAUGCUAUUACAACCCCAUUUUCCUAUUUGAAGAAGCCGUUGAUGCAUCUAGGCAAAGACCAGAAGUCUUACUCUACACUCCUUAUGCAAGCCUAUGUAGGGUAGGGUUUUUGUGCUUGUAAUGUGUGCAAAAGUCUUACUCAUCCAUAUGUAUAGGUGACAGUAUUUGGGUCCAUAUGACCCUUUUGAUCCAAUAUGGUAGGGUUUUUUGUGCUUGUAAUGUGUGCAAAAGUCUUACUCUACACAGUCUUACUCUACACUUCUUAUGCAAGCCUAUUUAGGGUAGGGUUUUUUGCGCUUGUAGGGUUUUUUGCACUUGUAAUGUGUGUAUAAGAGAGGAGACCUAAGCUUUAUAUGCAUAGGUGACAGUAUUAGGGUCCAUAUGACUCUUUUGACCCAAUAUGGUUUCCACCUGGGGCAAACCGAAUAAAGUAAAGUCUGAACGCGCCAAGGUGGAUGAGGAGAGCUUCAACUUUUAAUCCAACAACUUCAACUUCUAAAAUAGAACAAAAAGAGAUCAUCGCACUGCAUCAAUUACUGUUUUCCCUAAUAUAAGCUUGAGUGCUUCUUCACCAUGCUCAUCAAUUCGUAUCUACCAAAACAACAAAAGGGGGCUUGAGAAACACUCAAAAAAUCUUAUUUUCCCGAGCAAAUUUUGAUUUGAUUUGUGACUUUUUGUUUCUCCCUAUGUCUAACCAAUAAUUUGCAUACGCGAAUAUGAAAAUAUUUUGCACUUUUAAAAAUUCCGUAUUUGUUUUCUCAUACCUUCAAUAUUACGGUAAGGGGUAUAUCAAGUUUAAGGAUAAACACGCUUAGUCACUUAAGCGACAAAUCUUUUAUUUACAAAUAAUAUUUUCAAAAACCUUGUUGGCUUUUUUUUUCAUUUUUUAUUAAGUGUAGGUGUUUUGUUGAUGUAUAGUGUGGAUGCAGAUUUCGUCCAAAAAACAGUAGUAGUGUGGAUGCAGAUAGAACAGUCUGUUUUGAAGUCUCAAUAUCACAAUCACACCUUUAAUAAUAGAGGAACUUUUUUAUUUGGUAUAGAGAAACUUUAAGUCCUGCUCAACAGAGGAUCCCAAUGCCCACUCACAAAUGUACGGACGUGACCACACGAAGGAUGUUAAUGGGAUCAUAAACGCGAAAAUAUAUUAUGGGGCGUGCGAAACAAAAUCCAAUUAGGCGAAAAAUUUGUAGAAGAUGUUGCGCCAGGUGUUGCGCGUUGAUGUGACACCUUUUUUAUUAUUUAUCUAUGUAUUUAUUUCAACAUCAACCCAAAUUGAUGAUCCAUAUUAAAUUUAAGCUAUUUUAAUGAUAAAAAAUAAUAAAAAAUAAUUGAUAUUUAAAUCUAGUGGUUAAAAUAAUAUUUUAAAUUAAUUUAAAUCAUAUUCAAAUUCACUCCAAACUCUAUAAAUACUCACUUAUUUCUCAAAUAAAAUUAUAUUUAUGGAAUUUCAAUUUUUUUAGUCAAAUUUUUCAAAAAAUUAAAUUAUGAAGUUAUUUAAAAACAUUAAAUGAAGAAAAGUUAUCCCUGGAAAAAAAAAAAUUAGACUUAAACCAUUCUUAAACUAUUUAAUAAAGUUGCGGACUAAAAAUUUAAUUAUGAACGGUUGGGGGAAAAAACGAUUUUAGUCUGGACAAAACCCAAAUAGUUACUUUUUGGAAUGGAAAAUUUUAAGUUUAUGACCAAAUGAGUUGGAGAAGGCCUAAGAGAAUUAAUUAAGAUGGUUUUCACAUCAACUGCUUGAAGCUUCAAGGAGGUUUCUUCUUAAUGUUCACCAUGUGACAAGUAUUCUAUUGACUAGAGUUCCAUUAUCCCGUCUCUUAAGACCACUAUUCGUAACUCAAUAUUUUUUUCAUUAGACUAGAUUCUGUUGGCGAAAAAUUUAUUAUAUUCUACAUUAAUGUUGUUAAAAAAAAGUGGUACAAAUCACCUUUUCACCCAAACUAAUGUGUCUUUUUUGUUGUUGUUGUCUCAGUUAGAUAUACUUGAAUACUUUUCGAUUUGAGUGGAUUGUAUUUUCAAGCAAUAAUCUUCCCGUGAUGACUUAAGAAAAUGAAGUAUUCGGAUAAUGGGAAGUAUUAGGGAGUGAAUCCAAAAAAGUAAUUUUGAUAUUUCCGACAUGUAGUCUAGAUAACAGCCAUAAAUGUAGUCUAGACAUGUAGUCUAGUUACUAGCUAGCUACUUACUAUUAUCUAAUCAUCUAUAUUACACAUUACAUCUAAAACCAUGUCAUUGAGUUUCAAUCCGACCAAUUCCAUAAUCUUCUUUGUGUGAUUCUAAGCAACAAAAAAACAUCUAAUUAACAAUCUUCAACAUGAACUUCUUUUUUCAAGGGUCUUAAAUUUGAGUUUGGAUAGCUAGUUAGGGUUUUGGGUUUUCUACGAAUCGAAAACUGAAGCUACAUUGAUAAUUUUCCAAAGAAACUUCGCUUCCAUUUCCUUUAACGCGUUUUAAAUCGAAGUAUGAAUAACACAAAGAUGACCAAAUGCCAACAACUUUAUUCUUAACAAUAAACUGAAGUCCAAGAGACCUCAAAGGUACAAACGUUACAUAAACAAAGCAUAUGGAACAUAAGCCCCAUUUCUUGAAUAUUCAUCUCAACGCUUCUUUGUCAACGAAAUAACCAGGUUAAUGAACUGGCAGUUUUCCCUUUCCAUGUGAUCAAGAACAUCUGCUUCAAACCUACGAAACAAAUCGUCCAUGGGUGCUUCUCCGAAUUGGCUUGCCAGAAUCGGCUCUCCCACAGCCCUUAUGUCAGUGGCAAAUAUUGCAGCCCUUGUCUUCUUAUCAAGGCCAUUGUUAGCUUGCUUGACAUAAGAAUCCCAAUCAUUUUUGAAAACUUCAAGGUUUUGCAAAAUAAAAGAUCCUUCAGCCUCGAUCACCUCUUCGAUCUCCAUGGUUGUAGGUGCAUAGUAUGGCAUAUUGAAUGUGUCCAAUUUUUCCUCUUCAAUCAAACCCUGAAAAUUCAUCGAAGUACAUUUCAAAUUAGCAAUAAUUAAUGUGUCCCAAAUCUAUUAGAAAUAAAUAUGAUCUAAUAUUUAAUUACCUCAAAAACCAUGUCAUUGAGCUUCAUUCCUACAAAUUCCCAAAUGCAGAGGGGAUCGUCACUCUUAAUGCUGCCCAUGGUUGUGAGGACCAUACUGCCCCCAGGGACGAGCUCUUCGGCACGUGACCUCAGAAAGACUGUGAAGUCCCUUUUGAAUUGCUCCAAGUAUUGCUUAAACACAGCUGGAGGGCUUGUCUUUGCUAUAUAUAUGUUCCCCUUGUUAAGUGCCUCUCCUUCUUUGGUCACCAUGCCUUUUGGAACCUACGUACACACGUUUAUGCUCAUCACUUGUCAGAUUAAAUUAUCAGACACGAUUUUAGAAUUAUUAUUAUUUUACCAAUUGAAUAAAGCUAAAAAAUUAGACAAACUUGCAAGAUAUUUUUGUGUUUGAAUGGAGCAUCCUGCCAUGUGGUGUAACUAAUGAGUUAUAUAUAACUGGGUGUAUGAAGAGUUUAUGCCUAAUAACGACUCAAUGAUUGAUUAAAAAAAAUCCAAACCUCAGAGAUCCACAUGAGAGCAUAAGAAGAGUGAACAAAGUGGAGAGAAUUGUCGGGGAAGAGCCUGCCAUAGAAAGAGCCAGGCAUUCCUGCAAUGAAACAUGGCCCAAGCUUCUUUUCAGGUUCUUCAUCAAGUUUCUUAUAGAAGCCUGGCAAUGACCUGAACACCGUGUUGAAAUCGUUUCGGGGAAGAUCAUUCAAGAAGGCUUGGAGUGAUGGAGGUGGGCGGUUGAGCUUUUGGAAAGUGUUGCGGAUGUUGUCUAUGAUAUCUGAUACCACCAAAAGGGUGUUGGGUCCUGAAGAGCAUCCCAAGUCCGCUACUUUCAAACACUCUGGGAACAGAGUGCAACACAGCUCCUCUAUGCUUGCAUCAACUAUAGGCUUCACCGUUGAAAUCACUGCUCUCUGAAAGUUAUAAAAAUAAAAAUAAAAAGGGUUUAAGAAAGCAUGAAUAUUGCGUAGUUUUGGUUAGCAAAAUAGUUUGAGAACAAGCCAUGCUCUUUAAGUGUGCUUGAUAUAAAAUCAACGCAACUAGGGGAAGAGAGAGAGAGACUAACUUGAAGUAGGGAAUUGUUUGCAUAGCUUGUUUUCCCAACUCCUCCAUUCAUGUGUAGAACUUGCUCUACCUCCAUUUUUAUGUUCUCAAAUAAUACUCCUUCCUGUCUCUCUCACUCUCUUUCUCUUGGUAUCUAUUCUGCUGGAAGACUCCCUCAUAUUUAUAGCAAAAUGCUUACCCAACACAACUAACCUUACUUUUUUACUUGGAAAGUAUGUGGUUAUCAAAAUUCCAAUUCACAACUAAUACCUCUUAAUUACUAACUUGCACCAACAACUUUUAACGUUUUGAGGUGCAUGAUCUAACACAGCUUACGUGAGAUUAAGUACGUCAUAAGCUAGAAAUAUGAUUUAAUUGACCAAGUGUACAAACAACCUAAUCAACUUUUGAGGCGACAAAGUAAGUAGUGCGGCUUAUUACGUAGGGCCCCACAAGUCACCAACGUUAAUUAUAUUUCAGACUAUGGUCUUAAGUAUUAGAUUCCUAUGUAACUAACACAUCUUUGGCAGCAUUAGGUGUCUAACAGUGUACACUACUUUUCCUGAAUUAAAAGUUUGAUGGAAGUGCUGGUCUCUCCUUUCCUAUUAAGGGCGAAGAGAUUUCAACAUUGUAUAACGGGACUAUGAAAAUAAUUGUACAAUACGUGUCCAUCGUGUAAAACUCGUGGACGGUGGAGAGCGAGGGCCAUCUUUUGGAGCUUAAUGACGUGGUUCAUCCAUGACCAAUGAAUCAUGCAGCAGAGCCGAAAGGGCCAAUAAUGUGAGAUCGAAUGGUCUUGUUCAAAAAGAAUUUCCUUUCCAUGGGGAAUUCUCAAUUUCUCAUGCCCAGUGUUAAGAAACUAAAAUGAGGCCUAUUCUUUUUUGUCUUAUUUUAAAAUGAGGCCUAUUCUCAAUUUGUCAAAUGUAUUAUUAUUAUUAUUAUUAUUUGUAAAGGACCCACUAAGGUAGUUGUUUGGAGUAUUUACUCCCUCAUGCAAGGUCCUGGUCGAUCUUUUCCUAGUAUUGACUAAUCAAGGCGCAAUUCUGAAGAUUAUUAAUAUAACGAUAUGCAAAUUAUCAAAAUCAGUCUUGAAAAGGAGGCAUGAAAUAUAUAUAUCUCGGAAUUCAUCGUUUCUGAUUCUUACCUUUGCACACUCUGACAACUAUAUAUAUUUUUAUUUUAAAACACUUGGAGAGCCUAAUAUUGGAGAAAAAAAGUCACCAGUUGGUUCUUACUGUGUUACAAAUUUCCCAUUUAGAAGUACAUCAAGAUGUUUUUCUAAAGUAUUGGACUUGAAGGGUAUUUCGUUGAAGUGUAAAGUUUAUUAGAGUAUAAGAUUCCUCAAAUUGUGACAAGUUUCAUAAUCUGAGAGAGUUAGUUAAGUCAUUAUGUUAAAGAUUAGUUAGCUAACUAACUCUGUAAUAACUCUGAUAAGUGUCAUACACAAGAUUUUGGUUAAUUUGUUUUUCUAAAUUUUGGGGGCUUACCCAAAUUAUCUAGGAAGGUCACCAUCAUAUAUUAGGGUGUUCAAGUUGUGGAACCCUAGCAAAUCAAAACCAUCAACAAAUAAGUAAGCUUUCAAAUCAACCUUAUAAUAAGUGGUGCAAAGUUGAGAAGAACAUAUUCUUCUCGAUGGGCAAUUUCUCAUUCCUUUUACAUAUAUGCUGCAAGGCAAUUUCUUUUUCCUUCGUUUCCUUAUCGCAUUUUAAGACAAACUUUGGUUCACGUGGCCAUGAAAUUUUUUCUAUGUUCCGGGUCAACUUAUUUCCACGUCCCAUAGCUAGUUGGUGGUGCAAAGUUGAGAAGAACAUAUCAUAAUGUGAAAGCAUGUGUGGCCGUAAGACGUAACAUGUGAAUAAACUAUAUUCUUAUAUCAUGAUUGAAUUAAUUAGAAAAUCCAACAAACACGAUCUAGUAACCAAUGAUUCGACUUAAAAAACUGAAUGGAAAUAAGGUGUGUAUUACGUAUAUCAUAAACUAAAAAAAUAUGAUAUAAUUAUCCAAGUGCACAAACAACCUAAGUUUGACGGAUUAAGAUUUCUCUAACUAAAGCAUCUUUGGCAUCAUUAGUUGUCGUGUACAUUAAUUAAGCUUAACAUGGACAUUAGAUAUUGAUGCUCCUGGUCGAUCUUUUUCAAGUAUUGUUGACUAAUCAAGGCGCAAUUUUGAAGAUUAUUAAUAUAACGAUAUGCAAAUUAUCAAAAUCGGCCUUGAAAAGGAGGCAUGAAGUAUUGUUGAUUAAUAAUUGGUGAAUGAUUAUAGCUUAGAACUAGUUCGCGACUCUCGCCUAAAUAAAUUUAGAGUGAUGCUAUUACAACCCCAUUUUCCUAUUUUAAGAAGCCGUUGAUGCAUCUAGGCAAAGAGCAGAAGUCUAUCUAGGCAAAGAGCAGAAGUCUUACUCUACACUCCUUAUGCAAGCCUAUGUAGGGUAAGGUUUUUGUGCUUGUAAUGUGUGCAAAAGUCUUGCUCAUCCAUAUGUAUAGGUGACAGUAUUUGGGUCCAUAUGACCCUUUUGAUCCAAUAUGGUAGGGUUUUUUGUGCUUGUAAUGUGUGCAAAAGUCUUACUCUACACUUCUUAUGCAAGCCUAUUUAGGGUAGGGUUUUUUGCGCUUGUAAUGUGUGUAUAAGAGAGGAGAGCUAAGCUUUAUAUGCAUAGGUGACAGUAUUAGGGUCAGGGACGGACCCUCGUUGUGUACAAACUGGGCUAUAUCCCAGUCAAGUAUUUUUCUUUUGUUAUUGUUAGUAUAAAACACAUAGACUAAAUAAGUUGCAAUAUGUGUUGUGAGUUGUCAACUAAUGUUAAUUUUAAGCAUAUAUAAUCAAUUGUUGCUGACAUUGUUGGUGUAAAAUUGGACUUUUAAAUAAAUAAAAUAAAAAUGAUAUGUCCUUAAAUUAAAUUUGUAUAAUAUUAUGAUUAAUUUCAUAAGUCUUCCUAUAAAGUUUUGCCGGAUCUAAAAUUUAGCCCACCCUAUUUCGAAAUCCUAAGUCCGUCCCUGAUUAGGGUCCAUAUGACUCUUUUGACCCAAUAUGGUUUCCACUUGCAUUUUAGGCUUUUUUUUGCUUAUUGUUUCCACCUUGGGCAAACCGAAUAAAGUAAAGUCUGAAAGCGCCAAGGUGGAUGAGGAGGAGAGCUUCAACUUUAAAUCCAACAACUUCAACUUCUAAAACAGAACAAAAAGAGAUCAUCGCACUGCAUCAAUUACUGUUUUCCCUAAUAUAAGCUUGAGUGCUUCUUCACCAUGCUCAUCAAUUCGUAUCUACCAAAACAACAAAGGAGGGCUUGAGAAACACUCAAAAAAUCUUAUUUUCCCGAGCAAAUUUUGAUUUGAUUUGUGACUUUUUGUUUCUCCCUAUUUCUAACCAAUAAUUUGCGUUCGUGAAUAUGAAAAUAUUUUGCACUUUUAAAAAUCCCGUAUUUGUUUUCUCAUACCUUCAAUAUUACGGUAAGGGAAUAAAACUAUCUCAAGUUUAAGGAUAAACACACUUAGUCACUUAAGCGACAAAUCUUUUAUUUACAAAUAAUAUUUUAAAAAACCUUGUUGGCCUUUUUUUUUUUUUUUUUUCCAAGUGUAGGUGUUUUGUUGAUGUCUAGUUGUUGUGUCUAGUUGUUGAUGGCUAGUGUGGAUGCAGAUUUCGUCCAAAAAAAAUAGUGUGGAUGCAGAUAGAACAGUCUGUUUUAAAGUCUCAAUAUCACAAUCACACCUUUAACAAUAGAGGAACUUUUUUCUUUGGUCAAUUAAAUAAUAGAGAAACUUUAAGUCCCACUCAACAGAGGAUCACAAAUGUACGGACGUGACCCCACGAAGGAUGUUCAUAAACGCGAAAAUAUAUUAUGGGGCGUGAGAAACAAAAUCCAGUUAGUUGAAAAAAUUGUGGAAGAUGUUGCGCCAGGUGUUGCGCGUUGAUGUGACACCUCUUUUUUUAUUUAUUUAUGUAUUUAUUUCAACAUCAACCCAAAUUGAUGAUCCAAAUUAAAUUCAAGCUAUUUUAAUAAUAAAAAAAAUAUUAAACAAUUGAUAUUUAAAUUUAACGGUUAAAAUAAUAUUUUAAAUUAAUUUAAAUCAUAUCCAAAUUCACUCUAAACUCUAUAAAUACUCACUUAUUUCUCAAAUAAAAUUAUAUUUAUGGAAUUUUAAUUUUUUUUAGUCAAAUUGUUUAAAAAAAUUAAAUUAUGAAGUUAUUUAAAAAGAUUAAAUGAAGAAAAAUUAUCCAUGGAAAAAAAAAUAUUAGACUUAAACUAUUCUUAAACAAUUUAAUAAAGUUGCGGACUAAAAAUUUGAUUAUGAAGGGUUGAGGGAAAAAACGGUUUUGAUAUGGGCAAAACCCAAAUAGUUACUUUUUGAAAUGGGAAAAUUUGGGUUUAGUACCAAAUGAGUUGGAGAAUGCCUAAGAGAAUUAAUUAAGAUGGUUUUCACACCAACUGCUUGAAGCUUCAAGGAGGUUUCUUCUUAAUGUUCACCAUGUGACAAGUAUUCUGUUGACUAGAGCUCCAUUAUACCGUCUCCUAAGACCACUGUUCGUAACUCAAUACUUUUUUCAUUAGACUAGAUUCCAUUAGCAAAAAAUUUAUUAUAUUCUACAUUAAUGUUGUUUAAAAAAGUGGUACAAAUCACCUUUUUACCCAAACUAGUGUGUCUUUUUUGUUGUUGUUGUCUCAGUUAAAUAUACUUGAAUACUUUUCGAUUUGAGUGGAUUGUAUUUUCUAGCGAUAAUCUUCCCGUGAUGACCAGGGACGGAUCCAGGAUUUCAAAAUGACGUGGGCUAAAUUUACCUUACAUACAAACCUAUUGAAAAAACUCAACGGUACAAGUAAAUUUCAUUGAUAACAAAAAAAUACACGAGAGACAUAAUGAGUCUUACCCUUCAAAUAACACUUAUAUAAGUUGCGCUAUUCAAGUCUUCACAACAUUAAAAUCACAAUUAUUGAUUCAUUAUUUAUAUUAUCAGCAAAUUCUCUUUCAAUAUGAAGUAGGAUACAAUUAGCAAGAAACUCAUCACCUAUCUUAUUCCAAAGUCGAUUUUUAAUAAGUCUCAUACAUGAAAAUGCUCAUUCUGUUGUUGUUGUAGACACAAGAAGAGUUAGAACCAAAUGAAUCAAUCUAUCAAUCAAGUAGUAUGUUUCUGCUAAUUUUGUUCUUUUUAUUUAUUUGUUCAACCUAGUCCUAAUAGGAUUAGUUAAUAAUAUUUUAUUUAGGUGGUUAGCCAAGUCUUAAUGGGAUUAAUUAAUAAUAUUUUAUUUAGAUGACUUAGGCUAGAAUAUUAAUUUAGUCUAUAAAAAAAACAAGCUGCCUGGACUUUAGCCCAAGUUAGCAUGUUAGUAGGUACGUGCCUGGUGAUGACUUAAGAAAAUGAACUAUUCGGAUAAUGGGAAGUAUUACGGAGUGGAUACAAAAAAGUAAUUUUUGUAUUAGCUUAUUAACUAGUUAGCACUAAAAAGCUAUUGAUUGUAGUAAACAUAUUUCCGACAUGUAGUCUAGAUAACAGCCAUAAAUGUGGUUUAAUGUUAGUUACUAGCUAGCUACUUACUAUUAUCUAUCUAGCUAAUAUCUAAUCAUCUAUAUUACACAUUACAUCUAAAACCAUGUCAUUGAGUUUCAAUCCGACCAAUUCCAUAAUGUAGAGGGGAUCAUGGCUCUGUAUGCUUGUUUUCCUAGGUGCUUACCAGAAGUGUGUGCCAGAUUAAUUCAUUCACACACAAACACUAGGUGCAACAAGUAUCUGCUUGUUUUUCUUUUGUUUCCCUGUCGCUUUUUCAGACAAACUUUGGUUCACGUGGCGAUGAAAAAGCUUGAGGCUGAGGAUUCAAAGUACAAAAACAACCGAACCUUAAUUCAGUUAGGAUUUUUCUAUCAUCUGGGUGGCUAAGAUUGUGCAAUAGUCAUCUGUUUAAUAAGACAAUUUUACUAUUAUUUAUCACCCCUUGGCCCCUCUGCUUUUGUCUUCGAUCUCCCUCAACUUCUUUCAUUAUCUGAUAGCUAUUUAAUAAAAUCUUAAUCUCCUGCCAUCCAGGUUUAGUUCAUUGAAAAAUAGUAUUCAUUUGUAGAUUAGAGUUUUUAAGUUCGAAACCCCAUGACAUCUCCCAUCUCUAAUUAUGUGUGUGAAUGAAGUAUCGCUUGGAUACUAAAAAAUAAUUCCUAAUCUCCUUUUUCAACUCACCAACCCUCUAUUUUAUAUGUAUAUUAAAGAGAAGUAGUUGCAUCUCGGCAAGAGCAAAAGUUUUAAUGUACACUCCUUAUGCAAGCCUAUAUGGAAGAGGAGACCUAAGCCGAUAACGAAACAAUUCUUAGAAAAGAAAAAAACAACAAACCCUUAUUUGGUAUUGAUGUAUAUUGUGGAUGCAGAUGGAGCAGUCUAUUUCUCUGAGGGGUCGUUUGGUACGGCGGACUGUCAUGGACUGGACUAAAUUCUGUGACUAUUUUGGAUUAGCUCGGAUUGGCCUAAGCUGGAUUGAGUACUGACCUACGUUUGUGCUGCGUCGGACUAAGAAGCUGCAUUGUAAAAAUAGUAAAGACCUAUGUUUGGUGUUGUGACAGACUAAAAUAUAAUUAUUUUAAUAAUCAAUUUUAAUUAAAAAUAAAUAAAAUUCUAAUAUUUAAUUUUAAUUAAAGAUUGCUAAAACUAUCUUAUCUCAUCUUUUUUUUUUUCUUUUUUUCUUUCUUCCUAUUUUCUUCUUCCUUCCCAAGUUCCUAGGCCAUCCCCUUUUUUUUAUUUUUUCCUUUCUUCCUCUCUUCUUCUUCCUUCCUUCUUAAUCAACUGUCUAGAUUGAAAGCUGUAACCUUUACUGAGAGACAGAGUGGUCAAGGGUUUUAGGUGAGAAAAAGCGCAGAGAGACAGAGAGACAGAGACAGAGGCUGAAAAUUCAAUACCAACUAUUUAUUCCAUAAGUUCAACUUGAUGUUUUCUAUGUCAUUUCCCGGAAGAAUCCUUUAAUGGGUAUCAAUUAGUUUUUAGAAUUUUUUUCAAACCAAUUCAUGACUUCCUUCUCUCAGUCUCAUACAAGAAAGCCCACAUCUCCGUUAAUAGUGUCCCCUUUUGCAGUUGUCCUGAUCAUGGUGGAUGAUUUCUUGGAUCAAUUGGGUUUGAAAGUGGUUUUUUGAAUUUGGGUUCAAAUGGGUUGUGGUCCCAUUGGGUUUGAAUUGGUAGGGGUUGAUUCGAGUGACUGGGUUUGAAUUGGUGGUGGUUGGUUCGAAGGACUGGGUUUGACGAUGGUCUGUGGUGAUUCUGGUGGUUGGGUUGGGUCUAUGGUGGUUACAAUUCUAGGUGAAGAAGAAGAAGCUGGUUAUUGUCGGACUCGCGUUCUCUGUUUAUUGAAAUCGCUAUUUUGCGAACCGUGUUUGAGGCUCACUAAAUUGGAAGAGCGAGUGAGGCUUUUUGUUUACUGUUGUACUAUACAAUCCCAUUUAAUUUAGUUCCCCUCUUACCAAACAUGAUUUUCAGGGGCCGUUUGGUACACCGGAUUAUUAUAGAUUGGACUAAAUCCUUGGACUGUCUUGGAUUAGCUCGAAUUGGCUUAAGCUGGAUUAAGUACUGACCUACCUUUGGUGCUGUGUCAGACUAAGAAGCUGGAUUGUAAAAAUAGUGAAGACCUAUGUUUGGUGAUGUAUUGGAUUAAAACAAUUAUUUAAAUAUUUAAAAUUCAUUAGGGAUUUUGACCUAAAACUAAGUAAAUGCUACAAAGAAACCAACGAAAAAUGUAUAAUUUAUUAAAUAAAAAAAUUAUAAUUUUUUUAAAAGCUAAAACUAUCUUUAUCUCAUGUCUUUCUUCUUUUUUUCUACUUUUUCUUUUGAGUGCUGCUAAACGAACCCUAAAAUUAACUGAGUAGACCCUACUACCAAACUAUUUAUUGAAUUACUAAUUUAUCAUAAUAUAAAAUGACCAAAAAGGAUCUAUUGAAUUGUGAAACAAAUAAAACUUUAAUAAGUACACCUUACUCACUAUAUUCAACCCUUAUCAGACAUAAAAAAAAGUCUUCAUAUUGCUUGGUGCUCACGAAUAACGCAACUAGGGAAAAGAACAGUCCACGCAUGAGCAAGUAUUAAACUCUAACGGAACCCGGGGUUAGUAAAGAUAGUUUACCUCCCCUGCCCACGAAUAUCGUUCUUGAUGCUAAAAUCUCCCUCUAUAGGUGUCGAGGGCCUUUACGGCUUCUUCAUUCCUAGCCGAGUUCUGAACUGAUGUGUAGCAUCGGGGCCGCGGGAUCAAGCUUCGGGCUAGCUUAGAUACCUGUCCGAUCUAUCAGGGGGUUACUUAAGUGGGCCAACAGGUGGCCUAUAUGAUCGUUACCGCCUCUUAAGGAGCUUGCUAUCGUAACCCUUUCUCCCGGUGUAUGUGAAAAAGAGUGACGAACCCAUUUUUUUUUUCGGAGGCUAUUUCACCAUUGGGACUAAUAAUAGUACCCCCCGCAACGAGUACUAGUUUAGGAUUGGUAUUAUGAAAUUAAAGAUUUUGAUGAAACCCAAAAUCUGAAAAGAGAGCACAGAUUCAUGUAAAAAGAGAAACUUUGUUUAGGAUUGGUAUUAGAGUAUUGUACUAGGGCUAUUUUUGGUAGCUAAAUAGGGUGUACUUAAUUAAUUUUACAUUUUAAUUAAAAUAUUAGGGUUAACUUAGAUUAUAGGGUGUACUUAGUUAAUUUUAGGGUUCGUUUAGCAGCACUCUGUCUUUUGUCUUCCUUUUUCUCCCUUUUUCUUUUUCUUCUUCCUUCCCAGGCCCACUUUCUUUUUUUCUUUUUUCUCUCUUCCUCCCGAUCUCACUCUAUGGUUCUCUCUUUUUUUCUCCAAUAUUGAUACAAUGAUAUCCUUCUCCUUCUCUCUCCUUUUCUAUCUCUCCCUCCCAACCUUUCUCUGCCUCCUCAUCAUUUUCUCUCUCUUAUUCCCCUGUGAAGUCACCGAUUUUCAUCUCCUUUCAAGUCACAAAUCUCCAUCUGAUUUCAUUGAGCCAUGGUUGAUGGUUGAUGAUUUUUCAUAGGGUUCAAUUGGGUUUGACAGUGGUGGUUGAAUUUGGUUUUGGUUCCACUGGAUUUGAAUUGGUGGUGGUUGAUUUGAGUGGGUGGGUUUGAAUUGGUGGCGGUUGAUUCAAGUGGCUGGGCUUGAAUUGGUGGUGGAUGGUUUGAGUGACUGGGUUUGACGACUGUCUGUGGUGAUUCUGGUGGUUCGACUGGGGAUAUGGUGGUGACAAUUCUAGGUGAAGAAGAAGAAGAAGUUGGUUAUCGUUGGACUCGCUUGCUCUGUUUAGCAAGCUCGCUAUUUUGCGAACCAUUUUUCAAGCUCGUUAUAUUGAACCAAUGAGCGAGGCAAAUUUUUUACUGUUAGACUAUUUAAUCUCAUUUAGGUUAGUCCUCCUCUUACCAAACAUGGGUUUUCAAGUGCUAUUUAACCCAAUUCAAUAUAGUGAGGGGUACCAAACAUGCCCUCAAAGUGUUAUUUAACACUGUCCAGGGCAGUCCAGCCUACCAAACAUGCCCGACGUCUCAAUAAUUUCUCGUUCAUGUGUACGGAUCAUAAACGCGAAAAUAUAUUAUGGGGUAUGAGAAACAAAAAUCCAAUUACAUGAAAAUAUCAAUGACCAACAAGCUUAAACCAUAAAAAUUCACUUUCAAUUUCGCAUACAAUAACUAGAUUGGAGUUUUGGGUUCAAGCAUCAAAUUAUGUGGUGGAUUUUUUUUUUUUAAUUUAAAAAAAAAAUCUUGUUAAACUUGAACUGGAGUUUCUAAAUCUUCUUUGUGUGCUUCUAAUCAACAAAAAACAUCUAAUUAACAAUCUUGAACAUGAACUUCUUUUUUCAAGGGUCUUAAUUUGAGUUUGGAUAGCUAGUUAGGGUUUUGGGUUUUCUACGAAUCGAAAACUGAAGCUAAAUUGAUAAUUUUUCGAAGAAACUUCGCUUCCAUUUCCUUUAACGCAUUUCAAAUCAAAGUAUGAAUAACACAAAGAUGACCAAAUGUCAACAACUUUAUUCUUAACAAUAAACUGAAGUCCAAGAGACCUGAAAGGUACAAACGUUACAUAAACAAAGCAUAUGGAACAUAAGCCCCAUUUCUUGAAUAUUCAUCUCAACGCUUCUUUGUCAACGAGAUAACCAGGUUAAUGAACUGGCAGUUUUCCCUUUCCAUGUGAUCAAGAACAUCUGCUUCAAACCUACGAAACAAAUCGUCCAUGGGUGCUUCUCCGAAUUGGCACGCCAGAAUCGGCUCUCCCACAGCCCUUAUGUCAGUGGCAAAUAUUGCAGCCCUUGUCUUCUUAUCAAGGCCACUGUUAGCUUGCUUGACAUAAGAGUCCCAAUCAUUUUUGAAAACUUCAAGGUUUUGCAAAAUAAAUGAUCCUUCAGCCUGGAUCACCUCUUCUAUCUCCUUCGUUGUAGGUGUAUAGAAUGGCAUAUUGAAUGCGUCCAAUUUUUCCUUACCAAUCAAACCCUGAUAAUUCAUCAAAAUAUACAUUUCUAAAUAGCUAAAAAGGAAAUAUAUUGCAGCCCUACUUGCUAGAAUCUAAUAUUUAAUUACCUCUAAAACCAUGUCAUUGAGUUUCAGUCCUACAAAUUCCCAAAUGCAGAGGGGAUCGUCACUCUUUAUGCUGCCCAUGGUUGUGAGGACCAUACUGCCACCAGGGACGAGCUCUUUGGCACGUGACCUCAGAAAGACUGUGAAGUCCCUUUUGAAUUGCUCCAAGUAUUGCUUAAACACAGCUGGAGGGCUUGUCUUUGCUAUAUAUAUGUUCCCCUUGUUAAGUGCCUCUCCUUCUUUGGUCACCAAGCCUUUUGGAAUCUACGUACACACGUUUAUGCUCAUCACUUGUCAGAUUAAAUUAUCAGAAACGAUUUUAGAAUUAUUAUUAUUUUACCAAUUGAAUAAAGCUAAAAAAUUAGACAAACUUGCAAGAUAUAUAUAUAUUUUUAAAUCCCUAGUUGAUUGAGAAAGUCUUCUCAUGGAGAUAUUUUUAUGUUUGAAUGCAGCAUCCUGCCAUGUGGUGUAACUAAUGAGUUAUAUAUAACUGGGUGUAUGAAGAGUUUAUGCCUAAUAACGGACUCAAUGAUUGAUUAAAAAAAAUCCAAACCUCAGAGAUCCAGUGGAGAGCAUAAGAAGAGUGAACAAAGUGGAGAGAAUUGUCGGGGAAGAGCCUGCCAUAGAAAGAGCCAGGCAUUCCUGCAAUGAAACAUGGCCCAAGCUUCUUUUCAGGUUCUUCAUCAAGUUUCUUAUAGAAGCCUGGCAAUGAUCUGAACACCGUGUUGAAAUCGUUUCGGGGAAGAUCAUUCAAGAAGGCUUGGAGUGAUGGAGGUGGGCGGUUGCGCUUUUGGAAAGUGUUGCGGAUGUUGUCUAUGAUAUCUGAUACCACCAAAAGGGUGUUGGGUCCUGAAGAGCAUCCCAAGUCCGCUACUUUCAAACACUCUGGGAACAGAGUGCAACACAGCUCCUCUAUGCUU